UUACAUCCGUAAGGAAGUCAAAUACGAUUAUGCAGAUGAGAAAAUUAUCCUGAGAUGAAGAGCGGCUCAUAUAUGAUAAUUCUGUGCAAGGGGGACUCCCACGCUGAUUAGCAUAUCUUCAAGACCAGACCAAGAUGGAGAAGGCGAGGACCCUGCAAUGGGCACUUCGGGAUGGGCUGACCAGGAGUCCCGCUGGGAGAAGUUGGGCCGAGGUGUCUGCUUCCUGAUGGCCUUUUCUGGAAGAGAUUUUGCCAGUGAUGCUUUGGUCAGUGAAGACCUCAAUGAGAGCCUUGAUUCUGCUGUGUCCAUUGCAACUCCCUGAACCUCAGCUGGCUCUUCUCUCAAAUGAGAGAGUGCUCCAGGGCAGGGCUUCUCAAACUUCAAGGAUCUCCCCCGGCCAGCCAAGCUGAGCAAGGAUUGGUGUGGGGAGAGGCAGAGAGAGAGGAAAGGGAAGGGAGUCUGCAUAGGUAGAAGCUAGAAGCUGCCUGCUGUGUUCACGCUCUUGUGUCUCUCGAACUUCGACAUGACGACAAAUCUGGCCCCAGAGGAUAUUAAGCAAAGACACAUGAGCCUAUAAUUUUCUGCUUCCACGUGUGAGAUGCUAUAAUAAUCAAAAGAAAAUGAGUCUCUAACUACCCCAGCUCUUUGUGCUGCUGCCUUCCUGCCGGCUGCACUAAUUGAAUCACCCGGCACCACUGUAUCAAUGGGCUUGCUUUCCUCAUGUGGAAGAUGGCACAACCGCGUCUACCUCACAAGGGCGUUGCAAGAAGUGAGAAACACAGAUUAAGCAUCGUGGUUGCCUCAAAGAGAGGAGGCGCUUGGAAGUAGCCGUUACCAAAUGUUUACAGCGCUUUACUGUGCCUUGGCUGGCUGUCCCAUCACAGCGUGAGCUAGGCCUGCUUAUCCCAUUCUGUACCUGAAGACACAGCUGUGAGAGAUGAGACUAAAGCACAGAGAAGCUGAGUAAUUCACCCAAGGUCACAUGGCUGGCACAUGGUGAAAGUGGGCUUCAAGCCUAGGAAGUCAGUCCACAGUCUUUUUUGUCCACCACCAGUUCUUCAAAGAUCCAGCUAUACCUCCAUAUCCUUUUUGCCCCUCAAAGUCCUCUAUACUGAAUCCCUCAUUUGUCUCCAAGAAACAUCUUGUCUGUCUGCCCAUUCCUCUUGAAUUGAGCCUCUAGAGAGGAAUGGAAAUUCCUCCAUCCCCAAUGCCACUGUGUACCCCCAGUCAAGGUGGGAGAUUAUUCCGUGUUGCUCUCUACUUGUGCCUCCCUUCCAAUUCGUCAGCAGAUGUCCAGCAAGCAACUGCCGUGUUCACUGGGCAAGUAGCUAAGAGCUAUAAAGAGGAAAUUAUUAUAACUCCAUCUACGUGUAUAGCACUUUACUAGUGUUUGCAAAGCUAAGUGCAGUAGAAAGAGCGCAGGCUUUGGAGCCAGACAGAUCUGAGUUCUGACUUUGGCACUGUCACUGACUAGCCAGGGGUCCUUGGGCUGUUACUGAACAUCUGUGACUCAAUUUUCUCAACUAAAAAACUGAAAAAAAUUUCCCCAAGAUCAGGAACAAAGCAAAGAUUUCUGUUUUUUCUGCUCCUAUUCCACACUGUCUUGGAGAUCCUGGCCAGUGCAAUAAGACCAGAAGAAGAAAUAAAAGACGUACAGACUGGAAAGGAAAAAGAAAACCCAUCUUUAUUCACAGACAUGAUCAUCAUCACAGAAAACCCAAAGAAUCAGCCCUCCCCCACAAAAAAAAAGCUACUCGAACUAAUAAGUCUAGUAAAGUUGAUGGAUACAAGGUCAACUUACAAAAAUGAAUUGUAUUUCUACAUGCUAACAAUAAGCAAUUGGAAAUUGAAGUUAAAAUGGGGACGUCAAUCCCACCUCACAAGAUUGCUGAAAAAAAUAA